CCUACGUGAGGCAGCCGUGGGGGAUAUUGGACAAUGGGGGGAACCCUGAUCCAGCGACGCCGCGUGAGUGAAGAAGUAUCUCGGUAUGUAAAGCUCUAUCAGCAGGGAAGAAGAAAUGCCGGUACAUUAGGAAGAAGCCCCGGCUAACUACGUGACAGCAGCCGCGGUAAUACGUAGGGGGCAAGCGUUAUCCGGAAUUACUGGGUGGAAAGGGAGCGUAGACGGGGGUGUAAGUCUAGAGUGAAAGGCGGGGGCCCAACCCCCGGACUGCUCUGGAAACUAUGUGACUGGAGUGCAGGAGAGGUGAGCGGAAUUCCUGGUGUAGGGGUGAAAUGCGUAGAUAUUAGGAGGAACACCAGUGGCGAAGGCGGCUCACUGGACUGUAACUGACGUUGAGGCGCGAAAGCGUGGGGAGCAAACAGGAUUAGAUACCCUAGUAGUC
rnacentral:rRNA from 1 species